rnacentral:lncRNA from 1 species
CUGAAACCGUGAGUCAAAAUAAGUCUUUCCCCCUCUAAGCUGUUCUUGUCGGGUAUUUUGGUCAGAGUGAUGAAAAGCUGACUAAUUUGUGAGUGUACUAAACAAGCGCAGACGGAAGUGCUGCACGCAUGUAGCUAUUAUGAUAAUCACCUCCUUAGACUUCUCAAAGUACAUCUACAUGUUCCAUGAUCAUCAUCAUGGGGGCGAUUACAGCCGAGCCUCUGACCUCUGCCAUGUGUCCACCCUGAGCAGCACCCUUCGUAUGCAUCCUCUCACUUCAGCCUCACAGUGUUUACAGGAGGUAUUACCAUGAUUGUGCCCAUUUUACAGAUGAGGAAACUGCAGCAGUUGACUUGUUGGAUCUCACUGUCAGGCAUUCCUUCUGUUCUUGUAUGGCCUUGUUGUUCAAGAUGGGGUUUUGCUAUGUUGCCCAGGCUGGUCUGGAACUCCUGGGCCCAAGGAUCCCUCACCUUGGCCUCUCAAGUAGCUGGGACUGCAGGCUGCGCCACGGCCGCUGGCAGCUCGCGUUGUUUUGAAGUCACUUUAUCCUGCCCCCUCCCCAGUUCCAGGAAGUGAGCUGGAGCUUCCGGAGAACCCAGGUGUCCUCGCUCUGAGCCCCGCACUCUGUACUGUGUGCAGACAGUGGCCUGUUUCUGCCCUACCUCCCCCCUUUGCUCCUCCCUGGAAACCCACGCAGCCCUUUUCCUCCUGGGUGUUGUGCGGGGCAAGACACGUCAUGUUGGGGGUUGGUUGGUCCUCAGAGGUCCCCCAGGUGCAUAAUUCCUUUUACAGAAUAAAACAGCUGUGUGUGGCUCUGUACCACCCAGAGAGAGGAGGGGAAUGUGCCCUUACCUUCAGCUGUGGUGGGAGGAGGGAAGCGGCUUAGGAAGGAAAUCUUAUUCUUUGGCCUACCUUUGGGGGUCGGAAGUGAGUUGCUUGGCCUAUGGGGAAAGGCAAGGUUUUCCUUCCUUGGAAAUUUUUACCAACUAGUGACAGCUGAUGCUUCAUGCUUGGGAAUUCUCUUAGUUUCUUCGCAAAUGGAGAAUCAUAGAGCUAGAAAGACGUGACUCCGGAGGCUGAGGUAGGAGGAUCACAAGUUUGAGGUUGGCCUCAGCAACUUAGCAAGUGCUUGUCUCAAAAUAAAAAUAAAAGAGGACUGAGGAUGUAGCUCGGUAGUAAGAGGUCCCCCCCACGGGGGGGGGGGCGGGGAGGGCUGAGGUUGUGGCUCAGCGGUAGAGCGCUCACCUUGCAUGUGGAAGGCACUGGGUUCGAUUCUGAGCACCACAUAAAAAAUAAAAUAAAGGUAUCAUGUCAUCUACAACUAAAAAUAUAUUUUAAAAAAAGAUGCUCCCGGGUUCAAUGCCCAGUAGCCCCCAUCCCCCACAAACCCACAGUUUCCAACCUGAUACCCCAGAGGCCACAGCACCGCCCCUUCUGAAGUCAGGAUUUCUGCCACUUUCAGAACAGCUUAAAGCCCCAGGUCAUGAAGAGUAAUGAAGAAUGUAAAAACAAACAUUGUUUAAUUCUUGCUUCUAGCCGUAGGCCUUGCACUCUGCUUUCUGUGGGUUGGCUCAUCUGUUGAAACUACUCAGCCAGGAGGACCUGCCUUGUCUCCAUUUUACAACAGGAGAUACUGAGGCUGGAGUGGUUAAGGACCUUACCCAAGGUCACAGAAGUGGAAAGUGACACAAAUGGGGAAAAAAAUAAAAAGGUUCACUGCGGCAUUCUUCGUAAAAGCAAAGGACUGGAAACAACCCUUCGACAUGGGGGAAAUAUUCCUCAAUAAAGGCCUGAUUAAGUAAAAUCCAGUAAUGUCUCCACAGGGAGUACUAUGCAACUAUGAAAAGGAGUGAUUCCGUCUGUGCACUGUCAUGGAGCCAUCGCUAAGAUAUCUUUUUCUUUCCCGUUUUUUCCUGCUUAAUCCCUCCCCCUCUCUCCCCUGCUUUUUUUUUUUCCUGUUCUGGGCCUCAUGCAUGCUAGGUAAGUGCUCUACUUCUGAGCCAUAUCCCCACACUCCUAGAAUAUUUUCUUUUCUUUUCAACAUGUCAACUUAGAACUGACUUCCUUUUUUUUUAAAUUUUUAGUUGGACACAAUAACUUUAUUUAUUUUCUUAUGUGGUACCUGAGGAUCGAACCCAGUGCCUCACACAUGCUAGGCAAGUGCUCUAUCUCUGAGCCACAACCCCAGCCCACCCCUAGAAUAUUUUCUUAAGUGGUUAAAGCAUGCUGCAGAAUAGCAGGUUCCGCUGUUUUUGAUCUAAGAAAGAGGAGAAAAAUAUCAAAAUUUUUAAAAAAUGGAAAGUAAGCUAAAAAUACACAAAUUGGUAGCCUAGAAAAGGAGGAGGAAGGAGUUGGGAAGGAUGGGUCUAGACUUCUCUGAAAGUCUUGCUUUCUAGAUAUAGUGGUAGAACUAUAUAAAUAUUUAAUAGAACUAUAGAAAACAGAAUUACAAUGUCAUUUUUGUCUCUCAUUAAUUAUCCGUUCCAGCUCAGAGGUGGUGGCCUAGCUCGUACAAGACCCUGGGAUCCAUCCGCAGCACUGCGCACAUGCAGAAAGGAAUUAUCCUCCCUCCUUUUUUUUUUUUGGUAUUAGGAAUUGAACCCAGGGGUGCUCUACCACCGAGUUAUACCCCCAUUCCUUUUUAUUUUUGGAGAUAGGUUCUUGCUAAAUUACCCAGGCUGGCUUUGAACUUGUGAUCCUCCUGACUUAGCCUCAAAAGUCACUGGGAUUACAAGUGUGUGCACUAUGCCCAGCUAAUUAUCUCUUUUAACAGCAGUGAAGAAACCUGUCUAGGUCACCACAAGGCAGAGAAGGUGCCAGACCUCAUACCCCCUGGGUUCCAGGGGCUAAGAUUUAAUACUUCCCUGAGCUCCAAUCAGCUGCUUUGGUCAAGAUUCUCAUAACCUGGGCUCAGUGGUAGAGCGCUUGCCCAGCAGGCGUGAGGCCCUGAGUUCCAUCCCCAGUACUGCAUUAAAAAAAUGAAAAGAAAACAAACAAGAUUCUCAUAACUUUCUCCUGCUGCAGCCUGGAGGUGGAUUUGUCCCCAAGCACAUCAUUAGGAGUGUGCCUCUAAUAACUGCUUACCUGGCUGAGACUCUGUGCCACCAACACCUGCCAAGAGCACACUGUGCGGAAAAAGGAAUAACACGCCCACCUGCUCUCUACACCGGCAGAGGGCUUUUCUGCAUGAGACCUCUUUUCAGCUUUGUGUGACGCAGACCUGGAAACUAACGGUGGAAGCCUGGGCUCUGGUUCCGUGAGGUCUGCCUUCGGUGCCUUGUACAGCUGGAGAGAAAUGAGAGCUGGGGGUUCCUCUGACCCGGCGGGGUCCUGGCUGUGGGGUCCUGUGCAGAGUGUUUGUGGGGUAAUUUCACAUAUAGGCUAAAGAACUGUUUUGGGCUCAGACAGACACAAAAUUGAAUCCCAGGAGUCCUACUUUCUGGCAAUGUGCUCUUGAGCAAAUUUGACACUUCCCCCUCUCUAAGACAGUGACAAUGAAAGUACCUCCUGUAACAGGUAGCUUGAGGCUUAGUGCGGAGCUGGCGUAAUCAGCAAGAGUAAUCUUACAGGGCACAGCAGCUCCGAAAAUCCGCUCCACCUACUGCCUCAUGUGCAGAAGUUGAGUCUUCCCUGACCAGCUAACAAAGCCACCUCCUUACCCUCAAGCCAUGUCCCCAGUAAGGAUGAGCCUGCAGGAUGCCUCCUUCCCACUGCUCCAGGGCCCAGGACGCUGGCUCAGCCCGGAGGAGGCUCCUCUCUCUGCUAACCCCCCUCCAGAUCAAUCUCUAAUUCAGCGUCCUUUUGAGGACUAAAAAUCCAUCACCUUUGAAAAGUGCCAAUACGGCUGAGGCUACUGUCAGGUGGGCCAGAAAUGGAGUUCACUGUUUCCCUGGCUUUCAAGACUCUCCAGCUGAGCACUGCAGCUGGAACUCUCAUGUGGGCAAGAUCUCAGCGUGUGCAGGUUGCGCUGAGCUCACCCGCCGUCUGUCCACCCCACCUGCUGCUGGACCUUUUUCAUCUACCUCUUUGUUUCUCUAAGGGACAGUGAGGUUGAGAAGAUGAAGGGAUCAGGAUUUCACACACUGAAGAGCUUUUGUUUCUGUUUUUCAUAGAAGUGAAUACAUUAAAAUUUCCCUCUUGGCAUCAGCCUAUUGACUCCAAACACAGCUCUGAAAUUAGACCUUUCUGAUUUUAAGUUCUGUAAAUUCAAAGGUUCCUGGGAAACCUGCAGGUUUUUCAUUUUUAUUUUUUUCCCCUCUGAAGUAUAAGCUCC